GCGGAUGUGGCGGAAUUGGCAGACGCGCUAGACUUAGGAUCUAGUGGGCAACCGUGGGGGUUCAAGUCCCUUCAUCCGCA
rnacentral:tRNA from 1 species